UCAUGAUUAUGUUCAUGGUAGGCAUCCUGC
rnacentral:piRNA from 1 species